UAGGUCUUGGUUCAGUUUUCAACUCAUUUGUUUGGGAAUCUUAGCCCUUGGUUCUGUGACCACAUUCCACGCUGGGAACUGUUGGCAGUUUAAUUUGCAGUUUCCCAUUCCUUUGAAAUCAGUUUGCAAUGCCCAUCUUUGAGGUCUUUUAUUUCAAUUCUCUCCCCAACCCCAGCUCCACGUUGGGAAUGGCUGGCCGUGUGCACAGGGCCUUCUGCUGGCCCGUCUGCGGUAACGUUUCUUUGGUUACUGCUUGGUAUAUUAAGGGGCACACAUUUGUUUUGUUUUAUAUGAAAGACUAUUGCUUAUAAAGAUCUUGGAAACAGAA
rnacentral:lncRNA from 1 species